rnacentral:rRNA from 1 species
AGCGUAGACGGACUGGCAAGUCUGAUGUGAAAGGCGGGGGCUCAACCCCUGGACUGCAUUGGAAACUGUUAGUCUUGAGUGCCGGAGAGGUAAGCGGAAUUCCUAGUGUGGCGGUGAAAUGCGUAGAUAUUAGGAGGAACACCAGUGGCGAAGGCGGCUUACUGGACGGUAACUGACGUUGAGGCUCGAAAGCGUGGGGAGCAAACA